rfam:Triticum aestivum genome assembly, contig: Triticum_aestivum_CS42_TGACv1_scaffold_576874_7BL
AAAAUACUCCCUCCGUUCGGAAUUACUCGUCCAAGAAAUGAAUGUAUUGAUCUAGAUGUAUUUUAGUUGUAGAUACAUCCAUUUUUGUGACAAGUAAUUCCGAACGGAGGGAGUAUAUA